GCUGAGGUAGCCAAGCCUGGAUCACGGCGAUAGCCUGGAAAGCUAUUCUCCUUCCGGAGGCAUGAAAAUUGGCCAGAGUUCGAAUCUCAUCCUCAGCGCCA
rnacentral:tRNA from 1 species